rnacentral:rRNA from 1 species
UACGUAGGGUCCGAGCGUUGUCCGGAAUUACUGGGCGUAAAGAGCUCGUAGGUGGUUUGUCGCGUUGUUCGUGAAAACUCACAGCUCAACUGUGGGCGUGCGGGCGAUACGGGGCAGACUAGAGUACUGCAGGGGAGACUGGAAUUCCUGGUGUAGCGGUGGAAUGCGCAGAUAUCAGGAGGAACACCGGUGGCGAAGGCGGUGGUCUGGGGCCGGUACUGACGCUGAGGAGCGAAAGCGUGGGGAGCGAACAGG